AUGGCCAGCGCCGGGUCAUCGCCAGAGCCGCUGCACGUCGUCAUUGUCCCGUGGCUGGCGUUCGGCCACAUGCUCCCGUACCUGGAGCUCGCCGAGCGGCUGGCGUCGCGGGGACACCGCGUGUCCUACGUCUCCACGCCGCGCAACCUUGCGCGCCUCCCGCCGCUGCGCCCGGCCGCGGCGCCGCGCGUCGACCUCGUGGCGCUCCCGCUCCCGCGCGUCGACGGCCUCCCCGACGGCGCCGAGUCCACCAACGACGUCCCCGACCACCAGCGGGAGCUCCACUGGAAGGCCUUCGACGGCCUCGCCGCGCCCUUCGCGGAGUUCAUGGCUGCCGCGUGCGCCGGCGAGGCCACCAGGCCUCACUGGGUCAUCGCCGACUGCUUCCACCACUGGGUCGCCGCCGCCGCCGUCGAGCACAAGGUUCCAUGCGCGAUGCUUCAACCGACCGCUGCUGUGAUCGCUGCCGCGUACCAGCCGCCACCGGAGCACGCUGGACCGGGCGCUGCGACCCGCCCCCGUUACGAGACGGAGGAGACGGCACCCAUGUACGACGACCAAGGCGCGUCGGGUAUGUCCACCGUCCAGCGUUGGUACUUGACGAAAAAUAGGUGCGCGCUCGCGGUCAUCCGGAGCUGCGUCGAGUGGGAGCCCGAGUCCUUCCCGCUGGUGCCAGAGCUCCUCGGCAUGCCGGUCGUGCCCCUCGGCCUUCUGCCGCCGUCAACCGGCGGAGGCCGCCGUGCGGACGCCACCAACGGAUCAGCAGAGCACGCCACCGUGCGUUGGCUGGACGCGCAGCGGCCCGGUUCGGUGGUGUACGUGGCGCUGGGGAGCGAAGUGCCGCUGCCCCUGGAGCAGGUGCAGGAGCUAGCCCUCGGGCUGGAGCUCGCCGGGACACGCUUCCUCUGGGCUCUCCGGAAGCCCAGUGGAGCCGCCGUCCUGGACGACGGCGCCGACAUGCUUCCUCCGGAUUUCCAAGAGCGCACUCGCGGCCAGGGGCUGGUGACCACGGGGUGGGUUCCUCAGAUGAGCAUCCUGGCGCACGCGGCCGUGGGCGGGUUCCUGACGCACUGCGGCCGGAACUCGCUGAUCGAAGGGCUCCUGUUCGGUCACCCUCUCGUCAUGCUGCCCAUCUUCGGCGACCAAGGCCCGAAUGCGCGCCAAAUGGAGGCGAAGAAGGCGGGGUUGCAGGUGGCGAGGGACGAGAGCGAUGGGUCGUUCGACCGCCAUGGCAUCGCGAGCGCGGUCCGGGACGUCAUGGUUGACGGGGAGGCAAGGAGGAGAUUCGUGGCAGGUGCAGCGAAGAUGCAGGAGGUGGUAGCUAAUUCGGAACGGCAGGAGCGGUACAUUGACGAAUUUGUGCAACACCUUCGAUCUCACUGCCGCUACUCCGUGAACAAUAAGGGAAAAUUUUGUGUUUGA
rnacentral:rRNA from 1 species